UGGCGGUCAGAGCGAAGAGGUUCCACCCGUUCCCAUCCCGAACACGGCCGUUAAGCUCUUCGGCGCCGAUGGUAGUGGGGGGUUCUCCCCCUGCGAGCGUAGGUCGCUGCCAG
rnacentral:rRNA from 1 species